rnacentral:rRNA from 1 species
GAUGAACGCUGGCGGCGUGCCUAAUACAUGCAAGUCGAACGAAGCGGGGACGGGUGAGUAACACGUGGAUAACCUCCUAUAAGACUGGGAUAACCUCGGGAAACCGGAGCUAAACCGGAAACUUAUCGAUGGAUCCGCGCUGCAUUAGCUAGUUGGUAGGGUAACGGCUUACCAAGGCACCGAUGCAUAGCCGACCUGAGAGGUUGAUCGGCCAAACUGGAACUGAGACACGGUCCAGACUCCUACGGGAGGCAGCAGUAGGGAAUCUUGCGCAAGGGGCGAAAGCCUGACGGAGCAACGCCGCGUGAAUGAUGAAGGUCUUCGGAUCGUAAAACACGUUUAUUAGGGAAGCGGUACCUAAUCAGAAAGCCACGGCUAACUACGUGCCAGCCGCCGCGGUAAUAC